GUGAAAAGGGUUAAAAGGAGCUGUUGGCAAUCAUCUUAGGUGGGCGGGUGAGUCCAGAGUACAGACUCUGUCAGAGAGGUCAAAGCCUGGGGCUUUUCAGAGAAGGGAGGAUUAUGGGUUUUCUAAUUACAUAAGUCAGAAGUAGAAAAAGGGACACAAACUAAGAAGGGUGCUGAGCGCUCGUCACCUGGAGGGACUUGUGCCUCUCUCAGUGGUAGUAGAGGGGCUACUUCUUCCUGCCACGGUCAUGAUUGAGAGGCAACGGGUGGCGAGUCUACAGGGGACGUCGUCGAGCAGACAUGGGAUAACUUUAAGGGAGAAGGUUGGUUGUAAGGCGGUGGGACUGGGUGAGGGAGACUCUCCUCUUCUUCAGAGGGAGGCAGUACAGGGGGAGCUGAACUGGCUGAGGGUCGAGGCGAAAACUCGGUCUGGCUUAGGAGGACCUUGGAGGUAGAAUUAUGAAUGGCUCAUGAACGGAGCCAUGGAGAGUGGAUCCUGACUAAACUUAGCUAUUGAUCAAUGUAGAGAAACUGAUCAGGGUGGCUAGGAGUUUCAGUAACAACCUGCCACACAGCUUGAACAGUUGUGAGGUUCAAUGACCCUUCAGGGGGCCACUUGACUUUAAACUUUGGCCAUUUUAUUUUGCAGAGUGUCUGGAGCUUACCUUUUUUAAGGCGGACUUUAUAAUCCUCUGAACUGAGAGAAAAAUUCUGCAGCAUACAUUGGAGAGGGCUUUAACUUUACAAGGCUGGGAGGAAGUGUUUCUUAUUUUUUUUUUUAAGGCAAUUUAAUAAGAUUUGAGCAUAGAUAUUAAACUUAGCAUGGACAGAGAAACUUAUUUCUUGGGGGACUGGCAUAGUGAAAGAACAGAAUCAAUAUGACUAGAAAGAGCAGAAAAACUUAAAACAGCUAAUACUACUUGCUACAUUGCUGUAGCUUUAAGAUUGAGGGAGGAGGACUAGAGCCAGCCUGAGAUCUUCUGGGUCAGUUUGAUCUAGGCGUUCUUCUUCUUCUUCUAGAUCUGCGCUUUAAAUACUUUUGGUGUCUUUAUGACUUAAAGGCAAAUAGCUUAAACUUAGCUUUUUCUUUUAAGGGUUUAAGGAGUGAGAACAGAGCCAAGUCCUGGAGACGGUGAACUUGCUGUCGCACCAGAAAACGAGAUGUGCAGGAUAGGGGGCAGGGACAAGGCGGAAAAGGACUACUCGGAUCAUUUUUAAGAUGGGAGAGUAGCCACAGAGGAGCAGAGUAAGAAUCUAAACGAGGUAAAGCAGUACGGGCGUACAUUUCUUUACACGGUGUUCUACUGAAGGGCACAGGAAAAGUUACAGAAUGACAAGAGAGACAGACAAGGGGAGGGGCUCCUGUGAUGGGAUCAGUCAGAUGCCUGCCUGGCCGCUCCCCCUGAGGGGACUUGGGCUCCUCUUAACAUUGGCAGGCUGGUAUAAACUUCCGGCUCAGAUCAAGCUAUGCCUGAUGCUGCCUUAAGCCUUAUGAGGUCGCCACGGAACCGCAGGUGAGGGUCUACUUGAACUCCGUAGCUUUAGCCGUGGAGCUACAAACUGGAGGACAAGCGCAAGCCCUUGUCCUCACUCAUUCAUUAUUCACACAGAGUAUAUAACAGUUUUUUUUUUUUUCUUUCUUGGAGAUUCUUCAAGAAACUUGAACAAGAGAAAGAUGAGAGAUAGAAAGAGAGAGAGAGUGACCGGUCUGCCAGAAACCAGGACUCAGUCCUCCAGCAUCCUGGGAUGUGGACUGAGUCAAGGGAGGGCCGCUGUCAGAGCCACUUCCCUCCUAGAAAGAGACACAGAGGUGCCUAACAGAAAACCAGGGCUCUACCUUCUAGCGUCCUAGAGAAACAGGCAGAGUCAAAAGAGGGACACCCUCAUCAGGGCCGCUUCCCUCUUACUAGAACUGAAGUCAAAUCUGACCUACCUGACCUCAGGGUCAGAAGUCGAGGACUCAGAUGUGGAAUUUUUAUGGACACCCACACGGUAGUCGAUCCGCUCUCCUCUGAAAGACGGUCACCUUUCGGGGACCUAAAAAUUUUUUUUCAGGUGGCACCCCCCCUACAAGCCGGCCGGCCUUCUGGGGGAGCCCAGAGCGAGCCCGGCUCUUGCCUGGUGGCGUUUCUUGCUGGGGCCUCCGAAUGUUGUACUUGAGCGAGUUAGAGAAAAUGUCACACUUUGACAUGAAUUAAGAGUCUGUUUAUUUAGCUGACGGCCAAGAAAUGGCUAACUCUUAAAGUUCUCUUGGCCCCGAAGAAAGGGCUAGAUUUUCUUUUAUACUUCAGUUUAGACAGGGGAAACGGGUCUAGUUAAAAGAAUUUUACAGAAGUAAAGUAGGCAAAAAAGUUAAAAGGAUAAAUUGUUACAGGAAAGUAAACAGUUCUAGGUGUAAGGGCUUUAAGACUAUUACAAAGUGAUAGACGUGGGGCUUUAGGCAUUAUCAAUCGGACAAAUUCCUAGGAACUGCGGAUAUUGCUCGCCACAGUAUCUUAUGAGUUAAUUGCAUUCUUAGAUGUGCUAAGAGUCAGCUUGCACAAGUUAAGUCCUUGAGGAAGGGGCUGUCAGUGAAAAGGCCAAGAUAAAAUCUAUCUAGCUCUCUUAGCUAAAAGAAAGUCAAUUCAGGUAGAAACAAGGCUAAGUGAUUAAAAGAAAAGGAAAGUCUAAGAACAAAGUUAAUAAAAACAAGGUUAGGCAUUACAGAUGGGGUCAUCCUUAUAUUCAGCACAGCGUUUGUCCUGAAACUUCAAUGGAGUGCUCCUAGUUUGAUAACUUGGACCAUGCCAAAUAAAUUGAAUUUCUCUUUCUUAACAACAGAUGUUUGAAUACAGCCCCGUGACCCUUUCUGCUCCUUCCUGCCUUCCUCCUCUCCUCUUCCUUCCCUUCCUUUUCAAGAGCAGGGUUUGCAAACUUUUUCUUGAAAGCAUCAGAUAGUAAAUAUUUUCGAAUUCGUGGGCCAUACAGUCUCUUAUAGUAGUUGCUCAACUCUGCCACCCAUAGCAUGAAAGCAGCUGAUAUAGUUGAAUAUGAGUCCCCACCCAAAACUCAUGUUGCAAUCCCCAGUGUUAGAGGUGGGGUCUGGUGGGAAGAGAUUGGAUCAUGGGGGUGGAUUUCUCAUGAAUGAUUUAGCCUCAUCCCUUUGGUCCUGUCCUUGCAAUAGUGAGUGAGUUCUUGCAAGAUCUGGUUGUUUACGAGUGUGUAGCACCUCCCUCCUUACUCUCUUGCUCCCACUUCACCUUCUGCCAUCAUUGUAAGUAAGUUUCCUGAGGCCUCCACAGAAGCUCAGCAGAUGUCAGUGUCAUGCUCCCUGUAUAGCCUACAAAACUGUGAGCCAAUUAAAGCUCUUUAUAUAUUGCCCAGUCUCAGGUAUUUCUUUAUAGCAUGAGAGAACAGCCAAAUCCAGCAGCCAUAGACAAUAUGUAGCAAAUGGACAUGACUGUGUUUCAAUAAAACUUUAUUGACAAACACAUGCACAAGCAGGUCAGAUUUGGCCCAUGGGCAUUAGUGUCCCAACCUCUGCUCUGGAGUAUUCUCUUCAGCAACCUCUGCCUCCUGGGUUCAAGCAAUUCUCCUGCCUCAGCCUCCCAAGUAGCUGGGAUUACAGGCACCUGCCACCACACCUGGUUAAUUUUUGUAUUUUUUAAUAGAAAUAGGGUUUCACCUUGUUGGCCAGGCUGGUCUCAAACUCCUGACAUCAGGUGAUCCAACCACCUCAGCCUCCCAAAAUGCUGGGAUUACAGCUGCCCACCACCACACCUGGCUAAUUUUUGUAUUUUUAGUAGAGAUGUGAUUUCACUAUGUUGCCUAGGCUGGUCUCGAACUCCUGAUCUCAAGUGAUCCACCUGCCUCGGCCUCCCAAAGUGCUGGGAUUACAGGUGUGAGCCACUGCAGCUGGCCUCUAGAUUUUUUUUUUUUUGAUCGUUGCUUAUUUGGUUUGACUUUCAUUUUUUCCCCCAUUGUGGUAGUCAUUUUCUGAACGCCUGUUAGUUUGUCCAUCUCUCUCCUCUGUAGUCCCUAGAGUCAGAUGAACUCCUCUGCAGGUGCAAUGGUGUAACACACUCUAGUGCUGAAUUUUGAGCAGGAGAAAGAGAGCAAGAGUGACCAGUACCCUUGGAAACUCUGGCCUCCUGAGAAUUUGGUGUCUUCCCUGCAAAGGUUGCAAACCUGUUAACCCACAGGCCGGAGAGAGAGAGAAGUCAGAAUCACGAUCUGUUAAGCUUGAGUUUAAUAUUUGAUGCACAGAGAUCACUGAGUUUUUUGAUAAGAAUUAGAGGGGGAAGAAAUAGCCAGAGAACAAUUUCUAUCUCCAGGUGAGGAUUCAGGAGAUAAUUCUGCGAAAAGAACUUCCUGAGAACUAAGAUGGGGAAAAUCACUGGUAUUAGAAGAGUGAAAAGGUCAGUAAUUAAGGCUACAACUGUGCUCUUAGAGGCAAAAGAAGAAAAUGAGACUGCCAGGCAUGAAUAAUGAGAAAUCUUUGAUGGAAUUAGCCAUGCAGAACAGAUAUUAAAUGCAUCCUCAUUCUUCUCAUAGUCAAAAGUAUUUGCCUAAGCUGGAUGGGAAAAAGAGAAUCCCAUUUCACUAAGUAUAAAAGAGGGGAUUUUAGAGAAGGUCUCAGAAGAAAGAGAUGUGGCGGUUUGGUGAAACUCACCAGAGGCUGAACCCUC
rnacentral:lncRNA from 1 species